AAGAAGAAAGACCAGCCAAAUUGCAAGAAGAAAGACAAGCCAACUGAGCGGUGACCGAAAAUGCCAUUUAACACCUACCGUUUUCGGUGCAUGUUUGUAGCUUUUUUAUUUUUAUUUUUUAAGAGUGUUUAUUUCUUGUUUA
rnacentral:ribozyme from 1 species